rnacentral:rRNA from 1 species
CCCCUACGGGAGGCAGCAGUGGGGAAUUUUGGACAAUGGGCGCAAGCCUGAUCCAGCCAUGCCGCGUGUCUGAAGAAGGCCUUCGGGUUGUAAAGGACUUUUGUCAGGGAAGAAAAGGACAGGGUUAAUACCUCUGUUUGAUGACGGUACCUGAAGAAUAAGCACCGGCUAACUACGUGCCAGCAGCCGCGGUAAUGGGG